AGGAGUGAACGCUGGCGGCGUGCUUAACACGAUGCAGUCGAACGGACUAGGUAAUGAACCUAGUGAUUUAUCUGUUAGUGGCGGACGGGUGGAGUAACGCGUGGGUAACCGUGCCGUAUACAGGGGGAGUAACACUUAGAAAUAGGUGCUAAAACCGCAUAAGCGCACAGGAUCGCAUGGUCCGGUGUGAAAAACUCCGGUGGUAUACGAUGGACCCGCGUCUGAUUAGCUUGUUGGCGGGGUAGAGGCCCACCAAGGCGACGAUCAGUAGCCGGCCUGAGAGGGUGAACGGGCCACAUUGGGACUGAGACACGGCCCAAACUCCUACGGGAGGCAGCAGUGGGGAAUAUUGCACAAUGGGGGAAACCCUGAUGCAGCGACGCCGCGUGAGUGAAGAAGUAUUUCGGUAUGUAAAGCUCUAUCAGCAGGAAAGAAAAUGACGGUACCUGACUAAGAAGCCCCGGCUAACUACGUG
rnacentral:rRNA from 1 species